CAUCCCUCCUCCCUCCUCCCCCCCUACCCCUCACCCCCCGGUGAGUUGCGCGCGUGGUGGGAGAUGUAUGGCGGCAUGGGGUAGCUGGCACGGCUGGAGGAGCGUCUCCUCCUCCUCCACUUGCAGGAGGAGGCUCCCUCCCGUGGAGGAUGGCCACUGCCACGACGGCGCCGCCGUCGCCUCCAUGCGGUACUCUGCCUCCAUCUCCGGCAAGCCUGCGCGGCUUCCGAAUCGAAUCGGAUUCGAGGGUGACUCGGGGCCAUACUUCCAGUAGAGUUCAUUGCCGAACCGGAUCGAAAUCGAGGCCUACAUGGAUUGGAAUCGAGGUUGGUUUCUUGCCUGUAUAUAUAUCUGCGUGUUUGGGUAUCUUUGACGUAUUUUUGCCAUACUGCCAGGAGACCAGGUCCUGCUCGCCGUCGAGAAUCUGGUCAGCAACACACGCUUAGAUCCCCUCCAUCGAUGCCAACAACUCGUGUGGUCUAGCGUUUUCAGCUUCUUACUCUCCUUCGACAAAAGGUACAUAAGCAUUUACUUAUUACGAAGCUAAGCUGGCUUGGCCGCUGUGCUGGACCAUAUACUCCCUUCCUUCUAAUUUACUAUAAGUCCAUCCAUCCAUGUAAAUAUUGUGUACUGCCUGUUGUAAUUCCAUCAGUGGUUCUUAACAAAAACAUUAUUUAUGGGGAUCUCUUACUUAUGUUCCAGUAGAGCAUGGGCAAAUCUCGAUGAUGUUGUUUGAUUUUACAGCGAUAGAGUAAUAUUUGUUAAAAUCCCUCCUAUGUGUAUAAAUUGUCCUGUUGAGAAACAAUAUCCAUCCAACUCAUAUAGCCAGUAUACAUAAUGUGAAUUCUUGCAGUUGUGAGCCUUGUGUAAGGUGUUCAUGUAGUUGGAGGUAUAUAGAAAAGUUUCAAAUUUUCUUGCUCCAGUAGCAUUCUACUUGUACUAUUCAUUUUCAGAUAUACACUACAAGUUUCAAAUUUUGGCAUAAAUCAUCAACUGCUACAUAAUAGAUGAAGUUUCUAGGUUCAUCCCAUAUUGUUACUGAAUAGAGAUUUUUCAAUUUUUCCGCUUUUGCAGAAAAUGGAUUCUUAUAACAUUGAAUCAAACAAUGCUGAUUGUUUAGAUUCUCGACCUUUAAAGAAACCAAAAUGUGAACAGUUGAAUGAUUGCGAUCUGUCACCAUCGCCUCGAUCAUCCACCUACAUUGAAUCAAGCCAUGUUUAUGAUUUAGAUGCUCGGCCCUUGAAGGAAGUAAAAUCUGAACAGAUGAAUGAUCUUGACAUAUCACUGUCGCCUCCCUCACCAACCACCCUGGGAUCAACAUCUCCGGUUAGUGUUUUUCUUGUUCAUUUAAUUUAGUGGAUUGGUUAAAGAUUUGACAAUUUUAAGUUUUUUUUCAGGGAAAUGAUCCUUAUACUAUUGAUUCAAUUGUAGCCGAGAAAGUGGCAUGUUCUGAAUUGAUUGACUUUGAUUCAGAUAAUGACAGAAGAAUUCUAUUAGAUGACGAGAAUCAUCAAAAUCAACAUGAACAAUACAAAGUCGAUCAAACAUAUGACUAUCUCCCACAAGGUAUGUUUCUAUGAAAUUUUUAUUCACUCUUUUAUUGUUUUUAACUUUUAACAUGACCAUAAAUUUUUUGAUUACUUGCAGAUUAUGAAAUGAGAGACCUGGACUACUGUGCUCAAAUAACAAUAGAAACAUCUUCGGAAUUUGAUAUACUUGUGAAGAUAGAUGACAUUUUUGUCACACAAGCUCAAUUGUUAUGCUUGCUAGAUCCAUUAAAAUUCCUAAAUGAUGAUGUAAGUAUAUACAAGUGAAUGCUCUUUGAUCAACAUUUUUUUCUUUUGUAAUAAAGGUUUUUUAUUUGAAUCUUUGUAGGUCAUCAGCGCGUAUAUAUGUUGCAUAAAGGAUCAAGCCCAUUUAGAAAGUAGGAAUGAUGUUAAAUUUUACUUUGAGAAUCCCUUUAUUUCUGUAAUGCUUAAAAGGGAUGGCAAGCUUGGAGUUGGUCAAGAUGGUAACCAUAUCACAAAGAUUGUGAGAAACUAUCUAAAGCAUGAAAUGGUAUUUUCUAUCUCUAUAAUUGACAUGUUCUAAGCUUUCUAGAUUUUAAUUUCUAACAGUUCAUGUCUUGUACUAAUUCAUUUUUUCAUUUUAGGUUCUAAUUCCAAUAAAUAUCAAAGAAUUACAUUGGUAUUUGGCUAUUAUUAACACACUGAAGUGUGAAAUACAAGUACUUGACUCGUUGUGUUGGGACUCCAACCGAGGUGACCUCAUCGAUUCGGUCAGUUUCUAUAGUUAUCAUACUUCUUUGAUAUUACAAAUUGAUGCUACACUUAAAUGCAUUUUUUAUGAUAUUAAUAAUUUAACAGCUGCAAGGACUACAAUAUCAUUUGAACAUAAUUGGAAAGCAACAAAACAUGAUUAGCCAUAAGUGGAAAGACCUCCAGAUUAUUUCAUGGAAAAUCACAGAACAACUACAAGAGCCAAUGCAGAAAGAUGGGUAUGUUGCAAAAAAAUAUGCUAACAUAUAUAAGAUUUUUUUUUCUUGUUUGGAGUACUCAUUGUUUUAUAACCAUGCAGCUCAUCUUGUGGACUGUUCAUGCUCAAGUUUAUGGAAUAUUGGACUGGAGAAUCACUAUCUCAUCCUGUUACACAGGUUUUUGUUUCUUAUCUUAUUGAAUAAUAUAAAUUCAAUGCCAUGCUAAUUUUUUUCAAGUUGUAAUAAUGAUUGCUACAAUGCAGGAAGAUAUUAAUUGUUUUAGAUACAAGUUAGCAGGCAUUUUAUUAUAUUGGAAAACAAACAUAGCACAAACAACUCCUCAAAAUAUCUCACUGUUGGGAAGUUCAGAUGACCAAAAAGAACCCAAGUCAUCUGUUUCAUUAUCAGAGGAAACAAAAUACCAAUCAUUAUUGUCUGUUCUUUCUAAGAUCAGUGUAAAUGAGUUAGUUGGCUGCCUUUGUGACUACAUCAAAUCAAUUAAUUGUCCAGAGACCUUGGAGUAAGAACCUUCUUAUUACUACUGUGUAUAUUUUGUUAAUAGAAUAAUACAAUGUUCUUUCAACUGUUUCUUGUUUAUUUGUGUGUGUGUUCCCAUAUACCAUGUUGCAAGUUUCUGGUGUAUUGUUCCUCCUGUCAUGUUUUGUAUAUUUUGUUAUUAGUAUAAUGGAUAUUUAUACUUUCGAUUGUGUAAAGCAAACUUUUUGUCUUAAUGCAGAGAAGUAUGGGUGCGAAACUCCAAGCCAUAUUCCAUUAGCUUGACUCUCAGGAAGCUGCAAGAAAUACUAAAUGAAGAUAUGCCCAUGGACCGUGAUUGUUUCAAUUUGGUUAUUCGAAAAUUCAUGUUUGACGACAUCCAAAUGAUGAAGAAAACCAAAGGAACAAUAUCAAAGCAUUAUCUAGACACGCGAUUUUGGGUAUGCUCUUAUAAUCGUAAUGUAAAUAUAUUUUUUUUUGUCCUCAGGUUUUUAACCACUUUUUUAUUUCAUAGCUGAUUACUGAUUUUGGACGACACCCAAAUUUCCGUAAAAAGAUAGACGUGGAACAACUCGCAGAAACUGUUAGUAGCUGGCCUGGUGUUAAUUAUAAUUUGUCAAGAUGCAAAUUGGUAAGACAUCACUUCCCUAUACCUAUAAGCACAACCUAUAAGCACAGUUUUUUCGAUUAUAGCUACUAGCCGUCUUGUACAUUUUAAUGAUCUUGUUCUAACAAUUAGCAUUUUGCAGAUUUUUAUACCAAUAGUACAAUUCAACAAAACCUUUAUUCUACUUAUACUAAACCAAGAUAAAAGAACCGUCUAUAUUUUAGACCCUACUCCACUUGACCCUGUUUACAAAUACAACCCAAAUGCAAGAUAUGUGAAGAAACUUUUAUGUAUUGCUGAAUUCUUGCCAAAAGCCAUGUCAAAAGUAUGCCCUGGAUCUAGAUGGAAUGAGGAUGUUUUCCUAUGGCGUCAAAUAAUCUUAUCUGAUGUUCCAAUUGAAAGCAAGUAAGCAUUCUUAUUAGCAUUGUUCAGAUGUAGUAGCUCAGGAUAGAGUUGAAGUGUGAUUUAUAAGUCUCAUUCGCCGUGUAUAACAUUUGAAGUUAACUCAGUAAGGACAAGUUAUCUGGGCGGUAUAGUGUAGGAUACUGUUAAACUUGUCAGAACUACUAUUUGCCAAAAUUAUUAGAAAAAUGUGUGUAGCUAUAAACUUAUAGGUUGAAAGAAAGGGUUCCUAAUUUUCUGGCAUAUAUCAGCUGAGUUAUGUUAAUGUGAUGUAACGCAUGCUUGCAUAGCGUCCAAAGUAUAAAGGCAAACUCAUUACAAAAAUAUUGAAUAGGCAUUAAGCCAACAAUGGUAGCAUUACUUUUAAAAAUCAUGUCAGUGCAACCAUUUUUUACUCGAUCAACCACACUAUUUGUUUUCUGGUAUAAGCAAAAUAGAGGAAUAAAUACCAUUCAUUUGAUAGAAUAGUAGAGCUACCCUGGCUGUGUUCAUCCCUGAAGCUAGCAGAAUCUCUGUUUUUCAACAUAGAUGCAGCGCUGCAGUUGUUUAGAUUUUCAUUGGUUUAUCCUGAAAUUGCUUGUGUCUGUAUGCGUUAUGGCUGCUAGGAUAUGCUUCAUAUGGUAGAAUUGGAUUUUGUUUUGACCUGUGCACUAUGUCGCAUAAAAUCCUGAAUGUAUUAGCAUAUGUAUAACACUGCAACCCAAGGCCAAUUCAAUUUAGCACCUCAGCUCUUCAUAGUUGGAAGCAAGCUUCUUAGACAAAAAGGAAAGCAAAUUCUAAAUUACUAUAAGUCCAUCCAUCCAUGUAAAUAUUGUGUACUGCCUGUUGUAAUUCCAUCAGUGGUUCUUAACAAUAAUUAUGGGAAAAUUUCUGAAAACUAAUGAGAGUUGCAUGUGUACUCAUCGAAAAAUACGAAACUCAUUCUCGGUCAUCAUUCUUUAUUAAAUAUGCUUUAAUAGUUUGACACUUUUGUCAAUUCCUAAACAUUCUAUUGCACAGGCCAUAUUGCCAGUGCAUGCGGAUGCUUCACAUUGGACAGUUGCACUUUAAGUGUUCAGUAUAUAGGUCAAGUUCUGAUUUCUCUUUUCCAAUGCAUUUAUAAUAGGCAUAGCCUCAGAAGGGUGAGAUGAGAUGAUGUAUUUUUUGUAGGAAUACUUAUUAUUCGCUCAUUUAUAAUUUCUAUCAUCAGCUAAGUGAGAUGAUGUAUUUUUUGAACUGCUAUGUAUACCGUACUGGUCGUACGUCCAUAAUUUUGUAGUUUGUUUACUGUUAUCACAUAUUUUGAGUUUAACAAUCCAACCUCUGCCAUAGAAGACUCGUGCGCUUCUCUGUGAAUGAAACCCCAGCGCCCUGCAAUAGAUGCCUUUCCUGACCAACAAGCCUUUAUUUUACUCUUAUUAACUUAUUGGUUUAUCCUGAAAUUGCUUGUGUCUGUAUGCGUUAUGGCUGCUAUGAUAUGCUUCAUAUGGUAGAAUUGGAUUUUGUUUUGACCUGUGCACUAUGUCGCAUAAAAUCCUGAGUGUAUUAGCAUAUGUAUAACACUGCAACAGAAGGCCAAUUCAAUUUAGCACCUCAGCUCUUCAUAGUUGCAAGCAUCCUUCUUAGACAAAAAGGAAAGCAAAUUCUUGUUUUGAUGGACCUAUGUAGUAACCCUUUUGUUUAUUUUACUAUUGGUUAUAUUCUCUACCCAAAACAUGCACAUCUGUUUAAGCAAAAGUAGUUCAGUCUUCAGUGUUGAACAUAUUAUGAAAUUUUUUGUAUUAGAAUAGUCACUGUUUUUCUUAUCUUAUCAGGGAACUAUCCGGUUAUCUUGUUUCUCUCUUCAUGUGCAUAUGGAAAGAUGAAGAACUACAGUUGCCAGUUUUAAAGGUCAGUCUCAUGUCAACUUCAAAUAUUACUAUUUAUUAUUAACACACUUUUAUGGCGCUAAUUAUUAAUUAUUUGCAUACAUCUAUGCAUGUACAGGAUGGCUACGAACUAAGAAAACAAUUUAUGGCACAACUAUUAACUUACAAGGAGAAUGAAUGUGAAGACAAUAUGCCUGCUGGUGUUCGAGACUUUCUUAGGUGUAUCAAUGCUACUCAAAGUUAGAAGUAGUUAUGCAAGCACAGAGAAUAUAUGAGAUCAUGUUGAAACGGUUCUAUUAUUACCGUUGAACAUUUUUUGUUUGUAGGAAUACUUAUUAUUACAUUGAGCACAGAAAGUCGUUUCUAAUCCACAGAAUUGAAUGUCAAGAUUUAUCAUGGAGUCUUCUAUCAUAGGGUAUCAAUUCUGUAUUUCUGUAUAGCAAAUUGUUUUGCAUACUUGUACUCUGGCCACUGAUUUAUCAUUACGUGAACAGAGGCCGUGAGAGAUGAAUCUAACAAAUAAUGGUGUAUCUGAUAUCUAUGAAAUCAUGUGUCUGUUAGAGCUUCGAAAUCCUCAUUGUAGAACCUGCGGCAGCAGAAUAUGAGCCAAGCCUAAAAUAUAUUGUAAAAAACAAAAUUGACUGUGAUGAAAAUAAAGCAACGAGAGAUGGGAAAAGCUAUACUUUUAAGCCUGUUUAACAGUUAAUAUCUGGUGAACUCUGCUGGUUGGCUUGACCAAAAAUGGUUUUGGAGAUAGUUGGAUCCUAGCCUUUUCAGUUUCAGAAAGAGGUUUGUCUGGAAAACCGAAGCAGAAUGUAAGAAUCGACAAUGGAGGCAUAUCUGAAGGCAUAGAAUCACCAUGCAAGUAAACGGUGAGGUUCAACCUCUCAAGAGUGCUCAAAAGUUGAACGGCCUACUAAUAUGAUAUGCAACAAGAAUUGAUUAGUCUUGUCCAGCCCAACUAUGUUCAAACGAUUUGGCCAACGCCCCACAAAACUAUAUACAUUCAAGCCCAUAAACAAAAGCGGCCCAAAACAGCCCAAAAGCCCAACAGCCGACCCAUUACUCCGCGUCGAUCUGCGCCAGAUCGGACGGACCCUAGAUCAUUUUCCCCUCCGGGCUUCUCGCGUGAGGGAGGAGAGAGCCGCCGGCGGGCGAUGGCGUGUGGUCACCGAGUAUUGUCGCGCCGCCGUGGGCCCUCUCGCCGGGACUUGCUUGCGGCUUUAGCUGCGCGCAGCUCCGUCGAGGGGCUCCUCGGUGGCACGAGCACGAGUUUGUGUCUAUCCGGAGCAGCCGACGAGGCCGGCGCUGCCGCCGGGGAUUUCCCGUCCGCUCGCGUCGCCGCGAUGGAGCCCUCCGGAUCCCACCUUCGCCCUACACCCCAUGUCCAGCAACGACAUCCCGUCGCCGAUCUGAGGGCCCCAUCGCUCCUCCCUCCUCCCCCCCUACCCCUCACCCCCUGGUGAGUUGCGCGCGGGGGGUGAAAUGUAUGGCGGCAUGGUGCAACUGGCACGGCUGGAGGAGCGUCUCCUCCUCCUCCACUUGCAGGAGGAGGCUCCCUCCCGUGGAGGAUGGCCACGGCCACGACGGCGCCGCCGACGCCUCCAUGCGGUACUCUGCCUUCAUCUCCGGCAAGCCUGCGCGGCUUCCGAAUCGGAUCGGAUUCGAGGGUGACUCGGGGCCAUACUUCCAGUAGAGGUCGUUGCCGAACCGGAUCGAAAUCGAGGCGUACCUGGAUUGGAAUAGAGGUUGGUUUCUUGCCUGUAUACAUAGCUGCGUGUUUGUGUAUCUUUGACGUGUUUGUGCCAUACUGCCAAGAGUCCAGGUCCUGCUCGCCGUCUAGAAUCUGCUCAGCAACACACGCUUAGAUCCCCUCCAUCAACGCCAUCAACUCGUGUGGUCUAGCGUGUUCAGCUUGUUACUCUCCUUCGACAAAAGGUACAUAAGCAUUUACUU
rnacentral:lncRNA from 1 species